GUGCCAGCCGCCGCGGUAAUACGUAGGGUGCAAGCGUUAAUCGGAAUUACUGGGCGUAAAGCGUGCGCAGGCGGCUUGCUAAGACAGGUGUGAAAGCCCCGGGCUUAACCUGGGAAUUGCGCUUGUGACUGGCAGGCUGGAGUGUGGCAGAGGGAGGUGGAAUUCCACGUGUAGCAGUGAAAUGCGUAGAGAUGUGGAGGAACACCGAUGGCGAAGGCAGCCUCCUGGGCCAGCACUGACGCUCAUGCACGAAAGCGUGGGGAGCAAACAGGAUUAGAAACCCUAGUAGUCC
rnacentral:rRNA from 1 species